rnacentral:rRNA from 1 species
UACGUAGGGUGCGAGCGUUAAUCGGAGUUACUGGGCGUAAAGCGUGCGCAGGCGGUUUGCUAAGACCGAUGUGAAAUCCCCGGGCUCAACCUGGGAACUGCAUUGGUGACUGGCAGGCUAGAGUAUGGCAGAGGGGGGUAGAAUUCCACGUGUAGCAGUGAAAUGCGUAGAGAUGUGGAGGAAUACCGAUGGCGAAGGCAGCCCCCUGGGCCAAUACUGACGCUCAUGCACGAAAGCGUGGGGAGCAAACAGG